rnacentral:rRNA from 1 species
AUGGAUUGGAACCCACAACUGUUGUGUUGGAACGUGAGGGGAUUGAACAACCCAGCCAAGAGGAACGCAGUUAGAGACUUUGUAGUGGGGGCGAAAGUUAACGUUGUGUGUUUGCAAGAGACGAAACUAGAUGUAAUCGAUCCAUUCAUAGCAUUGCAAUGCAUUGGCCCAUCCUUUGAUGGAUUUGCUUGCUUACCAGCGUCGGAAACUCGAGGUGGCAUUUUGUUA